rnacentral:rRNA from 1 species
GACGAACGCUGGCGGCGUGCUUAACGCAUGCAAGUCGAACGGGCCUUGUCCCCUUUUUUUUUGGGGGUGGGGUUAGUGGCGAACGGGUGAGUAACACGUGAGUAACCUGCCCCUCACUUCUGGAUAACCGCUUGAAAGGGUGGCUAAUACGGGGUGUUCUGGCCUGCUCGCAUGGGUGGGUUUGGAAAGAUUCGACCGGUUUGGUUGUUUUGGUGGGGGAUGGGCUCGCGGCCUAUCAGCUUGUUGGUGGGGUGAUGGCCUGCCAAGGCUUUGACGGGUAGCCGGCCUGAGAGGGUGGGCGGUCACACUGGGACUGAGACACGGCCCAGACUCCUACGGGAGGCAGCAGUGGGGAAUAUUGCACAAUGGGCGCAAGCCUGAUGCAGCGACGCCGCGUGAGGGAUGGAGGCCUUCGGGUUGUGAACCUCUUUCGCCAGUGAAGAAGGUCCUGCUCUUUGUGGUGGGGUUGACGGUAGCUGGGUUAAUGAAGCGCCGGCUAACUACGUG